rnacentral:rRNA from 1 species
UACGUAGGUGGCAAGCGUUGUCCGGAUUUACUGGGCGUAAAGAGCGCGCAGGCGGUCGAUCAAGUCGCGUGUGAAAGCCCCCGGCUCAACUGGGGAGGGUCACGCGAUACUGAUCGACUCGAAGGCAGGAGAGGGUAGUGGAAUUCCAGGUGUAGCGGUGAAAUGCGUAGAUAUCUGGAGGAACACCGGUGGCGAAGGCGGCAUCCUGGACCGGUAUUGACGCUGAGGCGCGAAAGCCAGGGGAGCAAACGGG